rnacentral:tRNA from 1 species
UCCCUGGUGGCUUAGCUGGUAAAGAAUCCGCCUGCAAUGCGGGAGACCUGGGUUCAAUCCUUGGGCUGGGAA